rnacentral:rRNA from 1 species
GACGGAAGGUGCAAGCGUUGCUCGGAAUUACUGGGCGUAAAGGGCGCGUAGGCGCCUUCUAAGUCGAACGUGAAAUCCCCGGGCUCAACCCGGGAACUGCGUCCGAUACUGGAAGGCUUGAAUCCGGGAGAGGGAUGCGGAAUUCCAAGGUGUAGCGGUGAAAUGCGUAGAUAUCUGGAGGAACACCGGUGGCGAAGGCGGCAUCCUGGACCGGCAUUGACGCUGAGGCGCGAAAGCCAGGGGAGCAAACGGG